CAGCGCCACGAGUGGUAACCACGUUUAUUGGGCCUAAAGCGUCCGUAGCCGGUUUGAUAAAUCUUUUGUGAAAUUGUACAGCUUAACUGUACAGCGUGCAAGAGACACUGUCAAACUUGAGACCGGGAGGAGUCAGAAGUAUUCCAGAGGGAGCGGUAAAAUGUUAUAAUCUCUGGAGGACUACCUGUGGCGAAGGCGUCUGACCAGAACGGAUCUGACGGUGAGGGACGAAAGCCAGGGGAGCGAACCGGAUUAGAUACCCGUGUAGUCC
rnacentral:rRNA from 1 species